UGGGACAAGCCCUGGAAACGGGGUCUAAUACCGGAUAUGAGCUUCCAUCGCAUGGUGGAGGCUGUAAAGCUCCGGCGGUGCAGGAUGAGCCCGCGGCCUAUCAGCUUGUUGGUGAGGUAACGGCUCACCAAGGCGACGACGGGUAGCCGGCCUGAGAGGGCGACCGGCCACACUGGGACUGAGACACGGCCCAGACUCCUACGGGAGGCAGCAGUGGGGAAUAUUGCACAAUGGGCGAAAGCCUGAUGCAGCGACGCCGCGUGAGGGAUGACGGCCUUCGGGUUGUAAACCUCUUUCAGCAGGGAAGAAGCGAAAGUGACGGUACCUGCAGAAGAAGCGCCGGCUAACUACGUGCCAGCAGCCGCGGUAAUACGUAGGGCGCAAGCGUUGUCCGGAAUUAUUGGGCGUAAAGAGCUCGUAGGCGGCUUGUCGCGUCGGUUGUGAAAGCCCGGGGCUUAACCCCGGGUCUGCAGUCGAUACGGGCAGGCUAGAGUUCGGUAGGGGAGAUCGGAAUUCCUGGUGUAGCGGUGAAAUGCGCAGAUAUCAGGAGGAACACCGGUGGCGAAGGCGGAUCUCUGGGCCGAUACUGACGCUGAGGAGCGAAAGCGUGGGGAGCGAACAGGAUUAGAUACCCUGGUAGUCCACGCCGUAAACGGUGGGCACUAGGUGUGGGCAACAUUCCACGUUGUCCGUGCCGCAGCUAACGCAUUAAGUGCCCCGCCUGG
rnacentral:rRNA from 1 species